CCUACGGGGAGCAGCAGUGAGGAAUAUUGGUCAAUGGACGAGAGUCUGAACCAGCCAAGUAGCGUGAAGGAUGACUGCCCUAUGGGUUGUAAACUUCUUUUAUAAAGGAAUAAAACGAGGCACGUGUGCCUUUUUGCAUGUACUUUAUGAAUAAGGAUCGGCUAACUCCGUGCCAGCAGCCGCGGUAAUACGGAGGAUCCGAGCGUUAUCCGGAUUUAUUGGGUUUAAAGGGAGCGUAGAUGGGUUGUUAAGUCAGUUGUGAAAGUUUGCGGCUCAACCGUAAAAUUGCAAUUGAUACUGGCAGUCGUGAGUACAGUUGAGGUAGGCGGAAUUCGUGGUGUAGCGGUGAAAUGAUUAGAUAUCACGAAGAACCCCGAUUGCGAAGGCAGCUUACUAAACUGUGACUGACAUUGAUGCUCGAAAGUGUGGGUAUCAAACAGGAUUAGAUACCCGAGUAGUC
rnacentral:rRNA from 1 species